CCUACGGGUGGCAGCAGUGAGGAAUAUUGGUCAAUGGGCGGAAGCCUGAACCAGCCAAGUCGCGUGAGGGAUUAAGGCCCUGCGGGUCGUAAACCUCUUUUGCCGGGGAGCAGAGGUCCGGACGUGUACGGGCCGGGAGAGUACCCGGAGAAAAAGCAUCGGCUAACUCCGUGCCAGCCGCCGCGGUACUACGGAGGAUGCGAGCGUUAUCCGGAUUUAUUGGGUUUAAAGAGUGCGUAGGCGGGCAUUUAAGCCGGCGGUCAAAUGUCGGGGCUCAACCCCGGCCUGCCGUCGGAACUGGAGGCCUUGAGUGGGCGAGAAGUAGGCGGAAUGCGUGGUGGAGCGGUGAAAUGCAUAGAUAUCACGCAGAACCCCGAUUGCGAAGGCAGCAUACCGGCGCCCUACUGACGCUGAGGCACGAAAGUGCGGGUAUCGAACAGGAUUAGAUACCCCUGUAGUC
rnacentral:rRNA from 1 species